rnacentral:rRNA from 1 species
CGAUGAACUCCAGCUUGCUGGGGGGAUUAGUGGCGAACGGGUGAGUAACACGUGAGUAACCUGCCCUGGACUCUGGGAUAACCCCGAGAAAUCGGAGCUAAUACCGGAUAGGACCUUGGACCGCAUGGUUUGGGGUGGAAAGUUUUUCGGUUUGGGAUGGACUCGCGGCCUAUCAGCUUGUUGGUGAGGUAAUGGCUCACCAAGGCGUCGACGGGUAGCCGGCCUGAGAGGGUGACCGGCCACACUGGGACUGAGACACGGCCCAGACUCCUACGGGAGGCAGCAGUGGGGAAUAUUGCACAAUGGGCGCAAGCCUGAUGCAGCAACGCCGCGUGCGGGAUGACGGCCUUCGGGUUGUAAACCGCUUUUAGUAAGGAAGAAGGGGAGCUUGCUCCUUGACGGUACUUGCAGAAAAAGGACCGGCUAACUACGUGCCAGCAGCCGCGGUAAUACGUAGGGUCCGAGCGUUGUCCGGAAUUAUUGGGCGUAAAGAGCUCGUAGGCGGUUUGUCGCGUCUGCUGUGAAAUCCCGAGGCUCAACCUCGGGCCUGCAGUGGGUACGGGCAGACUGGAGUGCGGUAGGGGAGAAUGGAAUUCCUGGUGUAGCGGUGGAAUGCGCAGAUAUCAGGAGGAACACCGAUGGCGAAGGCAGUUCUCUGGGCCGUAACUGACGCUGAGGAGCGAAAGCGUGGGGAGCGAACAGGAUUAGAUACCCUGGUAGUCCACGCCGUAAACGUUGGGCGCUAGAUGUGGGGACCUUUCCACGGUUUCCGUGUCGUAGCUAACGCAUUAAGCGCCCCGCCUGGGGAGUACGGCCGCAAGGCUAAAACUCAAAGGAAUUGACGGGGGCCCG